ACCAACCGCGGUAAUACGUAGGGCGCAAGCGUUAUCCGGAAUUAUUGGGCGUAAAGAGCUCGUAGGCGGUUUGUCGCGUCUGCCGUGAAAGUCCGGGGCUCAACUCCGGAUCUGCGGUGGGUACGGGCAGACUAGAGUGAUGUAGGGGAGACUGGAAUUCCUGGUGUAGCGGUGAAAUGCGCAGAUAUCAGGAGGAACACCGAUGGCGAAGGCAGGUCUCUGGGCAUUAACUGACGCUGAGGAGCGAAAGCAUGGGGAGCGAACAGGAUUAGAUACCCUGGUAGUCCAUNCCGUAAACGUUGGGCACUAGGUGUGGGGGACAUUCCACGUUUUCCGCGCCGUAGCUAACGCAUUAAGUGCCCCGCCUGGGGAGUACGGCCGCAAGGCUAAAACUCAAAGGAAUUGACGGGGGCCCGCACAAGCGGCGGAGCAUGCGGAUUAAUUCGAUGCAACGCGAAGAACCUUACCAAGGCUUGACAUGAACCGGAAAGAUCUGGAAACAGGUCCCCCACUUGUGGUCGGUUUACAGGUGGUGCAUGGUUGUCGUCAGCUCGUGUCGUGAGAUGUUGGGNUAAGUCCCGCAACGAGCGCAACCCUCGUUCUAUGUUACCAGCACGUGAUGGUGGGGACUCAUAGGAGACUNCCGGGGUCAACUCGGAGGAAGGUGGGGACGACGUCAAAUCAUCAUGCCCCUUAUGUCUUGGGCUUCACGCAUGCUACAAUGGCCGGUACAAAGGGUUGCGAUACUGUGAGGUGGAGCUAAUCCCNCAAAGCCGGUCUCAGUUCGGAUUGGGGUCUGCAACUCGACCCCAUGAAGUCGGAGUCGCUAGUAAUCGCAGAUCAGCAACGCUGCGGUGAAUACGUUCCCGG
rnacentral:rRNA from 1 species